CUACGCCGUAAACGAUGGAUACUAGCAGUUUCGGGUAUCGACCCCUGGAGUUGCGAAGCUAACGCGUUAAGUAUCCCACCUGUGUAGUACGAUCGCAAGAUUAAAACAUAAAGGAAUUGACGGGGACCCGCACAAGCGGUGGAGCGUGAUCUUUAAUUCGAUGGUAAACGAUAAACCUUACCAAGGCUUGACAUCCGAGGAAGGCUCUCGAAAGAGAACUGUGCCUUCGGGAACCUCGAGACAGGUGAUGCAUGGCCGU
rnacentral:rRNA from 1 species